rnacentral:rRNA from 1 species
AUCGAACGCUAGCGGGAUGCUUUACACAUGCAAGUCGAACGAGUGGCGGACGGGUGAGUAAUAUAUCGGAACGUGCCCAGUAGCGGGGGAUACCUACUGGAAAGAGUGGCUAAUACCGCCUACUAUUGGCUCAGCCGAUAUCGGAUUAGCUAGUUGGUGGGGUAAAGGCUCACCAAGGCAACGAUCCGUAGCUGGUUUGAGAGGAGGACCAGCCACACUGGGACUGAGACACGGCCCAGACUCCUACAGGAGGCAGCAGUGGGGAAUUUUGGACAAUGGGGGAAACCCUGAUCCAGCCAUCCCGCGUGUAUGAGAAGGCCUUCGGGUUGUAAAGUACUUUUGGCAGAGAAGCGGUAUCUGCAGAAUAAGCACCGGCUAACUACGUGCCAGCAGCCGCGGUAAUAC